rnacentral:rRNA from 1 species
CUACGUGCCAGCAGCCGCGGUAAUACGGAAGGUCCAGGCGUUAUCCGGAUUUAUUGGGUUUAAAGGGAGCGUAGGCUGGAGAUUAAGUGUGUUGUGAAAUGUAGACGCUCAACGUCUGACUUGCAGCGCAUACUGGUUUCCUUGAGUACGCACAACGUUGGCGGAAUUCGUCGUGUAGCGGUGAAAUGCUUAGAUAUGACGAAGAACUCCGAUUGCGAAGGCAGCUGACGGGAGCGCAACUGACGCUGAAGCUCGAAGGUGCGGGUAUCGAACAGGAUUAGAUACCCUGGUAGUCCGCACAGUAAACGAUGGAUGCCCGCUGUUGGUACCUGGUAUCAGCGGCUAGCGAAAGCAUUAAGCAUCCCACCUGGGGAGUACGCCGGCAACGGUGAAACUCAAAGGAAUUGACGGGGGCCCGCACAAGCGGAGGAACAUGUGGUUUAAUUCGAUGAUACGCGAGGAACCUUACCCGGGCUUGKAA